AAACCUCUUCUGAAAAGAACGAAUAUUUCCUGAAAGAUGUUUUUGGCAAGGGUGGGUAGUAGCGAAGUAGUUGUAGUUCGCCACUGUAGCGAACUACAAUUUUCAAGUGGCCAGUAGUUUUUGACUACUUUUUUAAAACAGUAGCUGUAGUUAUAGCGAACUACAUUUUGCCUAAAAGUAGCCAAGAAGUUGGCUACUUUUCAAACAGC